rnacentral:tRNA from 1 species
GCGCCCGUAGCUCAGUGGAUAGAGCAUAGGCCUCCGAAGCCUUGUGCGCAGGUUCGAUCCCUGCCGGGCGCGCCA